GACGAACGCUGGCGGCGUGCUUAACGCAUGCGAGUCGAACGGGCUCUGUCUGGCUGUGUGCUGGGUGGGGUUAGUGGCAAACGGGUGAGUAAUACGUGAGUAACCUGCCCUCUUCUUUGGGAUAAGCCUUGGAAACGGGGUCUAAUACUGGAUAUUCCUGUCUGGUCGCAUGGCUGGGUGGGGAAAGUUUUUUUCGGUGGGGGAUGGGCUCGCGGCCUAUCAGCUUGUUGGUGGGGUGAUGGCCUACCAAGGCGUCGACGGGUAGCCGGCCUGAGAGGGUGACCGGCCACACUGGGACUGAGAUACGGCCCAGACUCCUACGGGAGGCAGCAGUGGGGGAUAUUGCACAAUGGGCGCAAGCCUGAUGCAGCGACGCCGCGUGGGGGAUGACGGCUUUCGGGUUGUAAACCUCUUUCGUCGGGGGACAAGGCUCUGCUUGGUGGUGGGGUUGAGGGUACCCGGUGAAGAAGCGCCGGCUAACUACGUG
rnacentral:rRNA from 1 species